rnacentral:ncRNA from 1 species
AUAUAAUUAAUGUUAAACCUUAUCAAAACUAGUAUAGACAAGGCCCGCAUGGGUGUAGACGGAUUGGCAAGUGCCGUGUAAAUGGAAGGAAAUUUGUAAAAUGAAGUCUCGUGUUCGAUUCUCACCCGGAUUUACUCGUGCGCCAUUCUUGCGGGCUAGGUGGUUUCACCUGGGGUUAUAGUGGUAGCCGACGGGGAUCGACCCCAUGUCACGCAAGUAUGAGAACCACUAGUUGUUGAUUCCCCUAGUACAAAAAAAAAAAAAAAAACUAGUAUAGACAAGGGGAAUCUGACUGUUUAAUUAAAACAAAGCAUUGUGAUGGUCCCUGUAGAUGCUGACGCAAUGUCAUUUAUACCCAGUGCUCUACAUGUGAAAGUGAAAAAAUUCAAUCAAGCACGGGUAAACAAUGGGAGUAAAUACAACUCUCUUAAGGAAGCCAAAUGCCUAGUCGUCUAAUUAGUGACAUGUGUGAAUGGAUUAACAAGAUUCCCAUUGUCCCUAGCUACUAUCUAUAGAAACCACAACCAAGGAAUAUUAGCCUA